GGCUCAAUAACCUUCCCGCUGGGGAGGCUAUGUUGCGGGAGGGGGAGGGGCCUUGAAUUUAGUCCCACAUCGGCUAGUAGCGGGAAGGUUCUGUGCCUUAAAUGGGGGUUGGAAAACCUUUCCUCUCGAGGCGCCUUUUGAAGGGCAAAACCGUGAGGGCAAAGCGGACAAUACCUCGGGAGGAACGCAGUCCUCUUUCUCUGCUAGCUUAAUGUGGGCUAGGCUAUUGUGUGAGGCUCCGGCAGAAUGUCGUCCCCGCAACAGAUGGCGCGCCAGGUAGGGGCGCCUCCUCCGACCGUUGACUACCCCUCAGGACUGUGGAGGCUCAAUAACCU
rnacentral:lncRNA from 1 species